rnacentral:rRNA from 1 species
CCUACGGGGGGCUGCAGUGGGGAAUAUUGGACAAUGGGCGAAAGCCUGAUCCAGCCAUGCCGCGUGUGUGAAGAAGGCCUUCGGGUUGUAAAGCACUUUCAGUGGGGAAGAAAGCCUUGGGGCUAAUACCCUCGAGGAAGGACAUCACCCACAGAAGAAGCACCGGCUAACUCCGUGCCAGCAGCCGCGGUAAUACGGAGGGUGCGAGCGUUAAUCGGAAUUACUGGGCGUAAAGCGCGCGUAGGCGGUCUGAUAAGCCGGUUGUGAAAGCCCCGGGCUCAACCUGGGAACGGCAUCCGGAACUGUCAGGAUAGAGUGCAGGAGAGGAAGGUAGAAUUCCCGGUGUAGCGGUGAAAUGCGUAGAGAUCGGGAGGAAUACCAGUGGCGAAGGCGGCCUUCUGGACUGACACUGACGCUGAGGUGCGAAAGCGUGGGUAGCAAACAGGAUUAGAUACCCCGGUAUUC